rnacentral:lncRNA from 1 species
CAUAUUUGGCUAUUUUAUUAUAAUGGCUCUUGAAUAAAAGCAAGAUCAUAUUAGCUCUCUAUGACCAUGACCUAAAAAGGCAGAAACAACUUAGGAAUGCUAGAGGUUGAUCUGAAUCACCCUCAGAUACAUAACAUUACAAGUUCUAUUAAGGAAGAUACAUUUCCAUGCCUCCUCCGGAAUCUGGUAUCAGAAGAUCCAGAAGCACUUUUAAAAUCCUGAUCCUUGAUGGUGAGCCUGAUCAAUUCAUAUCCCUUUGCGAGAUCACCUAAGUAUCAGUUAUCUGGACUUGGAAUUAAGAUCCAAAAGUACCUUGAAGGUCGCUUCAUCAACCCCAUUAAGAACUUUAUAAUUGGCUUUUUGAUGACCUUGGCUGAAGCAAAAUCGACCAUCGUAAUGAUGCACUAUCCUUUCACAUCUUUACUUCAACUUUGAACCCUUCAGUUCUCAGUUUUGAGCUUUGAAUUAUAGAUCCUGAGAUAAGCCAACAGUUUAUUAACAUCUACAAUGCAGAAUAUUCACAGGCUUUGGAUAGUCCACUGGAAUAACCCUUAAGAGAUACCCUUCCCAAGAAUACAUUUAUCCAAAAGUUGGGUGAACUUUUGACAUGUGAACUCAUUUAUACAAUUAUAAAUGAGUGCAGCAUUAUUCAAGGUAUAGCCACUAACCACUGAGCAUUGGUAGAGGUUCUCCCGAAGAAGUGCC